GGUCUGGUAGUUGAGUAGUUUACAAUAUCGAAUUGCAAAUUCGGGGGUGUGGUUUAUCCACCGAGACUU
rnacentral:tRNA from 1 species